GAUGAACGCUGGCGGCGUGCUUAACACGUGCAAGUCGAACGGAAAGGCCCAAGCUUGCUUGGGUACUCGAGUGGCGAACGGGUGAGUAACACGUGGGUGAUCUGCCCUGCACUUCGGGAUAAGCCUGGGAAACUGGGUCUAAUACCGGAUAGGACGAUGGUUUGGAUGCCAUUGUGGAAAGUUUUUUCGGUGUGGGAUGAGCUCGCGGCCUAUCAGCUUGUUGGUGGGGUAAUGGCCUACCAAGGCGUCGACGGGUAGCCGGCCUGAGAGGGUGUACGGCCACAUUGGGACUGAGAUACGGCCCAGACUCCUACGGGAGGCAGCAGUGGGGAAUAUUGCACAAUGGGCGCAAGCCUGAUGCAGCGACGCCGCGUGGGGGAUGACGGCCUUCGGGUUGUAAACUCCUUUCGCUAGGGACGAAGCGUUUUUGUGACGGUACCUGGAGAAGAAGCACCGGCUAACUACGUG
rnacentral:rRNA from 1 species